rnacentral:ribozyme from 13 species
GAAAUGAAAAACAAAUCACCCCACAAAAAAGAGAAAAAAGAGAAAAAGAAGAAAAAAGUCUCCAACAAAUUUGUCAAGAACAAAACUUUGACAAAAGAAUCAACAAACCUCUUUCUUCUUCUUCUUCUCCUUCUUCUUUU